rnacentral:snRNA from 1 species
AGAUAUGAGAGUAAUCUGGCUGCAACAUCUGUCACCUCGUUGAUGGCCAGGACUGAUUCAGCUAAUCUGGAUGACUUGGCAGGUGUCUUUUUCCUGCCUCACUACUCCAUGUGUGCCCUUUCUGAAGCUACUUGCUAGGUUGAAGAAGAUGACCUUCCCAAAUAGAGAACCAUUCUUCACUGAAGGGUACACAAGCAGCUGUGUUCCCCUGCUAGAACCUCUAAAUAUGCUGUCAAGGAUACAGGUCCAAGUGGUAAGACUUCAGAAGUAAAAGGCAGAAAGUAAGAAUCAAAGGAUCCUGAGAAGAGCAAUUCAGUGGAGUAUCAUUACUUCCUUU